rnacentral:rRNA from 1 species
GUGGGCAAUCUGCCCUUCACUCUGGGACAAGCCCUGGAAACGGGGUCUAAUACCGGAUACGACACACGGAGGCAUCUCCUGUGUGUGGAAAGCUCCGGCGGUGAAGGAUGAGCCCGCGGCCUAUCAGCUUGUUGGUGGGGUGAUGGCCUACCAAGGCGACGACGGGUAGCCGGCCUGAGAGGGCGACCGGCCACACUGGGACUGAGACACGGCCCAGACUCCUACGGGAGGCAGCAGUGGGGAAUAUUGCACAAUGGGCGAAAGCCUGAUGCAGCGACGCCGCGUGAGGGAUGACGGCCUUCGGGUUGUAAACCUCUUUCAGCAGGGAAGAAGCGAGAGUGACGGUACCUGCAGAAGAAGCGCCGGCUAACUACGUGCCAGCAGCCGCGGUAAUACGUAGGGCGCAAGCGUUGUCCGGAAUUAUUGGGCGUAAAGAGCUCGUAGGCGGCUUGUCGCGUCGGAUGUGAAAGCCCGGGGCUUAACCCCGGGUCUGCAUUCGAUACGGGCAGGCUAGAGUUCGGUAGGGGAGAUCGGAAUUCCUGGUGUAGCGGUGAAAUGCGCAGAUAUCAGGAGGAACACCGGUGGCGAAGGCGGAUCUCUGGGCCGAUACUGACGCUGAGGAGCGAAAGCGUGGGGAGCGAACAGGAUUAGAUACCCUGGUAGUCCACGCCGUAAACGUUGGGAACUAGGUGUGGGCGACAUUCCACGUCGUCCGUGCCGCAGCUAACGCAUUAAGUUCCCCG